rnacentral:rRNA from 1 species
GUGUUGUAUUAGGUCAUUCUUGGAUUUUAGCCAGUCUGGCAUUAAGUUGUCGGGUUGGUGAAAACCAUCGUUUACUGUGAAAAAAUUAGAGUGUUCAAAGCAGACUUAUGUCGUUGAAUAGAUUAGCAUGGAAUAAUAAUAUAGGACUUUUGUACUAUUUUGUUGGUUAGGUGUAAAAGUAAUGAUCAAUAGGGACAGUUGGGCGUAUUCGUAUUUCGUUGCUAGAGGUGAAAUUCUUGGAUUUCCGAAAGACGAACUACUGCGAAAGCAUUUACGAAGGAUGUUUUCAUUAAUCAAGAACGAAAGUUAGGGGAUCGAAGAUGAUUAGAUACCAUCGUAGUCUUAACCAUAAACUAUGCCGACUCGGGAUUGGGCGUUGUUUUUUGACUCGUCCAGCACCGUAUGGGAAACCAUUAGUCUUUGGGUUCCGGGGGGAGUAUGGUCGCAAGACUGAAACUUAAAGAAAUUGACGGAAGGGCACCACCAGGAGUGGAGCCUGCGGCUUAAUUUGACUCAACACGGGAAAACUUACCAGGUCCAGACAUAAUGAGGAUUGACAGAUUGAGAGCUCUUUCUUGAUUUUAUGGGU